rnacentral:lncRNA from 1 species
ACACAACUCCACAUGACUCAGAAGCCCUUCUUAAAAUAAGACCAGACCACAUUCAUGGAGGCUGAGUCACCUCUAACCUUCCAAACUUGGUGAGGAUUACUAACCAGAACAUAUUUUUAUUCCUAAGAUAGUAUGAGAAAGUUCUGAUCUUGACAGUUCACGUAACAUUCAAUCAAUUAUACCAUUGCUCUAUCUCUAAAGUUUUCUUUUUCUCCUUUUCUCAGUGUCUUACCAAGAAUGAAAGGCAACCUAUGUAAAAACUAUGGGCUUUCUAGUAUAAAUAAAAACUACUCAUCUCCAGAAAAUAAACAAUGACUGCUAAGAUGAUUGAAAAAAGAAAGGAGAAGAAAGUAGCUUGUAAAAGCGUGUGAAAUGCAUUCACGUUGGAAUCUCCUACAGGCACUUCAGGUUAUGAGGAAACCAGCUCCAUUGAACAGUAAACAGUUUUAGUAAACCUGAGCUUAUCAACAGAAACUUCAGCAACUCAUCUGAGAAUAAGACGAAGUGCUCCUGAUGGCUGCUUUCAAUCACUGGAAGAACCAUGAAAGUGCGAGAGAUUCCUCCCGGUGAAUGAAGCCAGCUCACCACCGUCAAGGGCAAGGGAUCAGCGUGUGUUCACAUGGAGGCCUCUCACCGAGGGAACCCAAGGGGGACAGCACAGGAAUUGCAGAGCCAGCACCCAUGGAAUGGGCAGGGAUUUGGGUUUCAUCCAACCAGCCAGUUGAUCAAUAAUCACUGAAUGUCUGUCACCCAUUGCAUCCUCUCCUGAGUAGUGAGGCUAGGCCA